rnacentral:rRNA from 1 species
GAAUAGCGCGGCGGACGUCGCGGCCUCCGGGCCGUCUUCCGCACGAGCUUCUUAGAGGGACCGUCCCCCGCCGGGGAAGGAGGUGCGAGGCAACGACAGGUCUGUGAUGCCUUAGAUGUUCUGGGCCGCACGCGCAUUACACUGACGCGUCCAACGGGUGACUCCCGACCCGAAGGGGCCGGGGAAUCCGCAAGGCGCGUCGUGAUGGGGAUUGAACGUUGCAAUUGUUGUUCACGAACGAGGAAUUCCUAGUAGGCGCGGGUCAUCAACCCGCGCCGAUUACGUCCCUGCCCUUUUGUACACACCGCCCGUCGCUCCUACCGAUCGAACGGUCCGGUGAGGACCCAGGACGGCGCGGGACCCGAGGGGCCGAAAGGCUCCGCGACCCGUGUCGGAAUCCGUCCGAACCUUACCGUUUUAGAGGAAGGAG